GGGGAAUAUUGCGCAAUGGGCGAAAGCCUGACGCAGCGACGCCGCGUGAGGGAUGAAGGUUUUCGGAUCGUAAACCUCUGUCAGAAGGGAAGAAACCGCACUGUGCUAAUCAGCAGUGCCUUGACGGUACCUUCAAAGGAAGCACCGGCUAACUCCGUGCCAGCAGCCGCGGUAAUACGGAGGGUGCAAGCGUUAAUCGGAAUUACUGGGCGUAAAGCGCACGUAGGCUGCUUUGUAAGUCAGGGGUGAAAUCCCACGGCUCAACCGUGGAACUGCCUUUGAUACUGCUUAGCUUGAAUCCGGGAGAGGGUGGCGGAAUUCCAGGUGUAGGAGUGAAAUCCGUAGAUAUCUGGAGGAACAUCAGUGGCGAAGGCGGCCACCUGGACCGGUAUUGACGCUGAGGUGCGAAAGCGUGGGGAGCAAACA
rnacentral:rRNA from 1 species